rnacentral:SRP_RNA from 1 species
GGGAGGUCGGCGCGGGCGAAGCCCUCGCCAACCCGGUCAGGUCCGGAAGGAAGCAACCGUAACGAGCCGGCUUCGGGUCGCUGUCCGGCCUCCCACC